GUGAUCAGGACAGACCACAGACAGCUGAUCAUGGAGCCUCUUCUAAGCUGGGUUUUCCUCCUUAUGGUUUUCAAAGGUGUCCAGGCUGAUGUGCAGCUGCUGGAGUCCGGGGGAGGUUUGGUGCAGCCUGGAGGUUCCCUGAGACUCUCCUGCGUGGCCUCAGGAUUCAACUUCGGGGGCUAUAGCAUGGACUGGAUCCGCCAGGCUCCGGGGAAGGGGCUGGAGUGGAUCGCCUACAUCAGUAGUGGUAGUAGUACCAUAUACUACGCAGACUCCGUAAAGGGCCGCUUCACCAUCUCUAGAGACAACGCAAAGAACACGCUGUAUCUCCAAAUGAACAGCCUGAGAACCGAGGACACAGCCAUGUAUUACUGUGCAAGAGACACACAGUGA